CCUACGGGAGGCAGCAGUGGGGAAUUUUGGACAAUGGGCGAAAGCCUGAUCCAGCAAUGCCGCGUGUGGGAAGAAGGCCUUCGGGUUGUAAACCACUUUUGUACGGAACGAAAAGGUCUGCUUUAAUAAAGCGGGCUCAUGACGGUACCGUAAGAAUAAGCACCGGCUAACUACGUGCCAGCAGCCGCGGUAAUACGUAGGGUGCGAGCGUUAAUCGGAAUUACUGGGCGUAAAGCGUGCGCAGGCGGUUAUAUAAGACAGUUGUGAAAUCCCCGGGCUCAGCCUGGGAAUUGCAUCUGUGACUGUAUAGCUAGAGUACGGUAGAGGGGGAUGGAAUUCCGCGUGUAGCAGUGAAAUGCGUAGAUAUGCGGAGGAACACCGAUGGCGAAGGCAAUCCCCUGGACCUGUACUGACGCUCAUGCACGAAAGCGUGGGGAGCAAACAGGAUUAGAUACCCUGGUAGUCCACGCCCUAAACGAUGUCAACUGUUGUUGGUGCAUUAGUACUCAGUAACGAGCUAACGCGUGAAGUGACCGCGUGGGAGUACGGCCGCGAGGUUAGAACUCAAUGAAUGACGGNGNGAGAGAGCGACGACGACGACGGAGGGAGGAGG
rnacentral:rRNA from 1 species